GGGUUGUGAGGUUAAGCGACUAAGCGUACACGGUGGAUGCCCUGGCAGUCAGAGGCGAUGAAGGACGUGCUAAUCUGCGAUAAGCGUCGGUAAGGUGAUAUGAACCGUUAUAACCGGCGAUUUCCGAAUGGGGAAACCCAGUGUGAUUCGUCACACUAUCAUUAACUGAAUCCAUAGGUUAAUGAGGCGAACCGGGGGAACUGAAACAUCUAAGUACCCCGAGGAAAAGAAAUCAACCGAGAUUCCCCCAGUAGCGGCGAGCGAACGGGGAGCAGCCCAGAGCCUGAAUCAGUGUGUGUGUUAGUGGAAGCGUCUGGAAAGGCGCGCGAUACAGGGUGACAGCCCCGUACACAAAAAUGCACAUGCUGUGAGCUCGAUGAGUAGGGCGGGACACGUGGUAUCCUGUCUGAAUAUGGGGGGACCAUCCUCCAAGGCUAAAUACUCCUGACUGACCGAUAGUGAACCAGUACCGUGAGGGAAAGGCGAAAAGAACCCCGGCGAGGGGAGUGAAAAAGAACCUGAAACCGUGUACGUACAAGCAGUGGGAGCCUCUUUAUGGGGUGACUGCGUACCUUUUGUAUAAUGGGUCAGCGACUUAUAUUCUGUAGCAAGGUUAACCGAAUAGGGGAGCCGAAGGGAAACCGAGUCUUAACUGGGCGUUAAGUUGCAGGGUAUAGACCCGAAACCCGGUGAUCUAGCCAUGGGCAGGUUGAAGGUUGGGUAACACUAACUGGAGGACCGAACCGACUAAUGUUGAAAAAUUAGCGGAUGACUUGUGGCUGGGGGUGAAAGGCCAAUCAAACCGGGAGAUAGCUGGUUCUCCCCGAAAGCUAUUUAGGUAGCGCCUCGUGAAUUCAUCUCCGGGGGUAGAGCACUGUUUCGGCAAGGGGGUCAUCCCGACUUACCAACCCGAUGCAAACUGCGAAUACCGGAGAAUGUUAUCACGGGAGACACACGGCGGGUGCUAACGUCCGUCGUGAAGAGGGAAACAACCCAGACCGCCAGCUAAGGUCCCAAAGUCAUGGUUAAGUGGGAAACGAUGUGGGAAGGCCCAGACAGCCAGGAUGUUGGCUUAGAAGCAGCCAUCAUUUAAAGAAAGCGUAAUAGCUCACUGGUCGAGUCGGCCUGCGCGGAAGAUGUAACGGGGCUAAACCAUGCACCGAAGCUGCGGCAGCGACGCUUAUGCGUUGUUGGGUAGGGGAGCGUUCUGUAAGCCUGUGAAGGUGUGCUGUGAGGCAUGCUGGAGGUAUCAGAAGUGCGAAUGCUGACAUAAGUAACGAUAAAGCGGGUGAAAAGCCCGCUCGCCGGAAGACCAAGGGUUCCUGUCCAACGUUAAUCGGGGCAGGGUGAGUCGACCCCUAAGGCGAGGCCGAAAGGCGUAGUCGAUGGGAAACAGGUUAAUAUUCCUGUACUUGGUGUUACUGCGAAGGGGGGACGGAGAAGGCUAUGUUGGCCGGGCGACGGUUGUCCCGGUUUAAGCGUGUAGGCUGGUUUUCCAGGCAAAUCCGGAAAAUCAAGGCUGAGGCGUGAUGACGAGGCACUACGGUGCUGAAGCAACAAAUGCCCUGCUUCCAGGAAAAGCCUCUAAGCAUCAGGUAACAUCAAAUCGUACCCCAAACCGACACAGGUGGUCAGGUAGAGAAUACCAAGGCGCUUGAGAGAACUCGGGUGAAGGAACUAGGCAAAAUGGUGCCGUAACUUCGGGAGAAGGCACGCUGAUAUGUAGGUGAGGUCCCUCGCGGAUGGAGCUGAAAUCAGUCGAAGAUACCAGCUGGCUGCAACUGUUUAUUAAAAACACAGCACUGUGCAAACACGAAAGUGGACGUAUACGGUGUGACGCCUGCCCGGUGCCGGAAGGUUAAUUGAUGGGGUUAGCGGUAACGCGAAGCUCUUGAUCGAAGCCCCGGUAAACGGCGGCCGUAACUAUAACGGUCCUAAGGUAGCGAAAUUCCUUGUCGGGUAAGUUCCGACCUGCACGAAUGGCGUAAUGAUGGCCAGGCUGUCUCCACCCGAGACUCAGUGAAAUUGAACUCGCUGUGAAGAUGCAGUGUACCCGCGGCAAGACGGAAAGACCCCGUGAACCUUUACUAUAGCUUGACACUGAACAUUGAGCCUUGAUGUGUAGGAUAGGUGGGAGGCUUUGAAGUGUGGACGCCAGUCUGCAUGGAGCCGACCUUGAAAUACCACCCUUUAAUGUUUGAUGUUCUAACGUUGACCCGUAAUCCGGGUUGCGGACAGUGUCUGGUGGGUAGUUUGACUGGGGCGGUCUCCUCCUAAAGAGUAACGGAGGAGCACGAAGGUUGGCUAAUCCUGGUCGGACAUCAGGAGGUUAGUGCAAUGGCAUAAGCCAGCUUGACUGCGAGCGUGACGGCGCGAGCAGGUGCGAAAGCAGGUCAUAGUGAUCCGGUGGUUCUGAAUGGAAGGGCCAUCGCUCAACGGAUAAAAGGUACUCCGGGGAUAACAGGCUGAUACCGCCCAAGAGUUCAUAUCGACGGCGGUGUUUGGCACCUCGAUGUCGGCUCAUCACAUCCUGGGGCUGAAGUAGGUCCCAAGGGUAUGGCUGUUCGCCAUUUAAAGUGGUACGCGAGCUGGGUUUAGAACGUCGUGAGACAGUUCGGUCCCUAUCUGCCGUGGGCGCUGGAGAACUGAGGGGGGCUGCUCCUAGUACGAGAGGACCGGAGUGGACGCAUCACUGGUGUUCGGGUUGUCAUGCCAAUGGCACUGCCCGGUAGCUAAAUGCGGAAGAGAUAAGUGCUGAAAGCAUCUAAGCACGAAACUUGCCCCGAGAUGAGUUCUCCCUGACUCCUUGAGAGUCCUGAAGGAACGUUGAAGACGACGACGUUGAUAGGCCGGGUGUGUAAGCGCAGCGAUGCGUUGAGCUAACCGGUACUAAUGAACCGUGAGGCUUAACCUUACAACGCCGAAGGUGUUU
rnacentral:rRNA from 1 species